rnacentral:lncRNA from 1 species
CAACCAGAGAACUGUAAGGGUAGCAACUAGGGUUGGGGUUCUCACGUUUUGGAUAGUUAAGAAUUGGUCAAUCAUGAUACACAGUUGUGUGUAAUCACAAAAAUCUGAUUAAACAAGACUGUUGAGUUUGUUUAAAAGAUUCUUAAUAAAAGUAUUGUUGAGGAAGACUUCUUAUAUCGUCUCUGUUCUAGGUAUUUCAAUUGGUAUCAGAGCACGGUCGACCUCUUCGGUAUUAAGCAUCGUCUACAUGUUGAGAUCUUGGGAAAGAGCAUGGAUCAUAUGAAGGAGCUAAUUGCUAUGCAAAAAACAAUCAUUCUGGAUGGAUCAAAUUUUGGUAACUGGAAAGGUACGAUAAGGCAUGCCAUUCGCAGCGUUGAUGAAGAAGCGUGGGCUGC